AAGAAAAUGACAGAGCGAUUAUGUAGUUGACUUGAGAUCACCCUACGGAGGUUCAAUUCCUUCUUUUCUUG
rnacentral:tRNA from 1 species